CGUCUCUCUGCUGCGGCGCGGGGACCGCUGUGCUCUCGGGAAAGCCCUGAGAAACUACCAGAACAGGGGCCCUCGGGCCAGUGUUGGGAGCAUACGGUGAAGUGGCAGGGCUGCUGCACCAGUGCGGAACUCCCCUGUGGAAGAUUAGCCCCUUUGGUGACUCGUCGGUUCUGGCCGCUGUGGGACCUUCCACUGUGCAGUCUGAACUUUCAGCAGGUGGAGGAGGGCAGAGACCUGAGAGUGUUGGUCCAUGCCAGUGCGAGAGCCAGUACAGCCGGAAGCCAUGAUGGGACUUUCAAUUCCUUUCUUGGUGGAGGCCAGCGCAGGGGAGAGGGGGUGCCUGUAGGUGCUAGAAGCUUAAAGACUGCUGGGGGCUAGUGGCCGCCUCAGGACAUAAGGUUUCCAGAUAGGACGGGGCAGGUGGUGAUGCAGCUGUAGCUGGUGAGUCUGGCCGGGGCAGGUGGUGAUGCAGCUGUAGCUGGUGAGUCUGAGCGGGAAACAGCCCCCGCGCAGUCGGUGUCACUGUGAAGAGAAAAGGGCCUUCCUUACACAGGAAACGGGGUCUCUGGGGGAUCCAGUGACGUUUCCGACCACACAGACCAGACCGCUCCUCCUGUAGAGAGUGGUGCUGCCAUCUCGGGAUGUACCUGCAGGUAGAGACCCGCACCAGCUCCCGCCUCCAUCUGAAGAGGGCUCCAGGCAUCCGGUCCUGGUCCCUGCUGGAAUCUUGUCGAUUGGCCUGGCUGCUGCCUACUACAGCGGAGAUAGCCUGGGCUGGAAGCUCUUCUACGUCACAGGCUGCCUGUUUGUGGCUGUGCAGAACUUGGAGGACUGGGAGGAAGCCGUCUUCGACAAGAGCACAGGGAAGGUUGUUUUGAAGACGUUCAGCCUCUACAAGAAGCUGCUGACUCUUUUCAGAGCUGGCCACGACCAGG
rnacentral:sRNA from 1 species